rnacentral:rRNA from 1 species
UAGGGAAUCUUCGGCAAUGGGGGGAACCCUGACCGAGCAACGCCGCGUGAGUGAAGAAGGUUUUCGGAUCGUAAAGCUCUGUUGUUAAGGAAGAACGAGUGUGAGAAUGGAAAGUUCAUGCUGUGACGGUACUUAACCAGAAAGGGACGGCUAACUACGUGCCAGCAGCCGCGGUAAUACGUAGGUCCCGAGCGUUGUCCGGAUUUAUUGGGCGUAAAGCGAGCGCAGGCGGUUAAAAAAGUCUGAAGUGAAAGGCAGUGGCUCAACCAUUGUAGGCUUUGGAAACUGUUUAACUUGAGUGCAGAAGGGGAGAGUGGAAUUCCAUGUGUAGCGGUGAAAUGCGUAGAUAUAUGGAGGAACACCGGUGGCGAAAGCGGCUCUCUGGUCUGUAACUGACGCUGAGGCUCGAAAGCGUGGGGAGCGAACAGG